rnacentral:lncRNA from 1 species
AUGCCCAUAUGUCACAUCAGCACAGAGGAACAAAAAUACUGCACCCAAUUUUACAGCAGCCUCUUAUUUGAUAAUAUAGUUUCAAUUUCCUCAGGGAGAGGAAUUUCUGCUUUUCUCACAAGAUUUUUUUGCAUGAUAUGUGGGUCAAAAGCUCGAGAGUUUGAAAGAAGUUUUUAUGUUGCAGAAUCGAUGCCAUUUGUCUAUGACUGCAUCCUGAAGAGAAAACUCAUUAUGGAGCCAUUUGGGCAGAUUCUGAUGGGCAGUUAGAUUUUAUUGGCAUUUGGGAGGAGCAUGCCACUAAAAAUUAAAGUCAUAAAUGUAGCCCUGUGGAGCUGCAAACUCCUGCAAAGAACAUGAAACUUCGGAACCAGUGAGCACAGGGAGACAGACCCUCCUCAGAGAACUUUAACAGGGAAGAGAGGCAGAUGUGUGACCAAGACCGGUGAGUGCUCCAGCCCACCUAGGAGACUGAUUCUAUGUGUUAUUACUUUAGAAUAAUAGAGGCGGUAUGAUAUGUUUUAAAGGGUCUGUCAUUUUGCAGUCUGAAGACAAACCAAGUUUGCCUGGGAGCAUCUUGCCUAAAAUUUAUCCUUUCCUUUUUUUAAAAAAAGGAAAUAAGUUGAAUGACCUUUAGCUUAGAAACCUGGAAUAAUGGUGUCAAUUUUGCCAGUUUAGGCACUAAAACCCUAUUGACCUCCCAAGGACUUUACCCCAUCAUAACUUUACUGCUCUUUUUAAAUCAUAGUUUUUGCUACUUGCAGGCCCACAGGCUUUUAAAAGCUCAGUAUUACUGUGCUUUGUGGCACUCUUUAGAAUCCAAGCAAUAUAUCUUUGUCUCUCAUAUUAGAAGGUUACAUGGCUGACCUUGUUAAUUCUUUUGAGCAGAGUCCCUCUGUCAGUAAGAUUUAUCCUUUAGCUGUUGAGAACGGUCAUGUCAAUAAACAAUUUUUAGGUGACCAUGCUCUCAGCAUUUAAGAGCUAAGUGAUGCCAUGUUAAAUCUAAUAGCUGGCCUGUCAUGUGGCAAACUGUCUAAAUGAGGAUGGAGACAGAGGCUUUAAUGGUGAAAUCUCGCUCCCUUGUCAAGGGAAGCUCAAGCGAUUUUAACACCAGUGGAUCCCUUCAACUUUCACCACUUCUUCCCUGUAACACACCCGGAAGUUGAAAGGAUUGGGAGAUGUAAGAUUUAUGUCUGUCAUCAAGUUUUUCCCCCCAGUUCUUUGUGUAUCCAUGGACUGCAGAUCACAUCUAUGUUAAAAUAAUUUUACCGUACUUUCACAUCUAACCAUGUCUGAAAUUCAAAUGAUAGUUUUUCACUUCUUACUCUACAAAAUAAGGAUUCUAACCAAAAUUUGAGGAGAGAAACCAAAGCAAUAUGAGAACACAAAUUUUGCUAUUUGAAACAAAUAAAAAAUAUUACAAAUAUAGUUUCUUGGAAGACUUCAUUUUUUUAGCUAAAGCUCAUAUGUUUUACUCUAAUGUUACAGACAAAAUGUACCCUAUAGAAUUCUACCUCAUUUCAUAUAAAAUGAUCCUUUAUCAUUGUACUGUGCCAUUUUAUGUAUGAGAGUAUAAAGGUAGAAAAAUAAAUGAUUAAAAUUCCAAUUGGUAAAUUAAAA